AUGAACGCUAGCGACAGGCCUAACACAUGCAAGUCGAGGGGCAGCGGAGAGGUAGCAAUACCUCUGUCGGCGACCGGCGCACGGGUGAGUAACACGUAUGCAAUCCACCUGUAACAGGGGGAUAACCCGGAGAAAUCCGGACUAAUACCCCAUAAUAUGGGCGCUCCGCAUGGAGGGCUCAUUAAAGAAAGCAAUUUUGGUUACAGACGAGCAUGCGCUCCAUUAGCCAGUUGGCGGGGUAACGGCCCACCAAAGCGACGAUGGAUAGGGGUUCUGAGAGGAAGGUCCCCCACAUUGGAACUGAGACACGGUCCAAACUCCUACGGGAGGCAGCAGUGAGGAAUAUUGGUCAAUGGUCGGCAGACUGAACCAGCCAAGUCGCGUGAGGGAAGACGGCCCUACGGGUUGUAAACCUCUUUUGUCGGAGAGUAAAGUACGCUACGUGUAGCGUAUUGCAAGUAUCCGAAGAAAAAGCAUCGGCUAACUCCGUGCCAGCAGCCGCGGUAAUACGGAGGAUGCGAGCGUUAUCCGGAUUUAUUGGGUUUAAAGGGUGCGUAGGCGGCACGCCAAGUCAGCGGUGAAAUUUCCGGGCUCAACCCGGAGUGUGCCGUUGAAACUGGCGAGCUAGAGUACACAAGAGGCAGGCGGAAUGCGUGGUGUAGCGGUGAAAUGCAUAGAUAUCACGCAGAACCCCGAUUGCGAAGGCAGCCUGCUAGGGUGAAACAGACGCUGAGGCACGAAAGCGUGGGUAUCGAACAGGAUUAGAUACCCUGGUAGUCCACGCAGUAAACGAUGAAUACUAACUGUUUGCGAUACAAUGUAAGCGGUACAGCGAAAGCGUUAAGUAUUCCACCUGGGGAGUACGCCGGCAACGGUGAAACUCAAAGGAAUUGACGGGGGCCCGCACAAGCAGUGGAGUAUGUGGUUUAAUUCGACGCAACGCGAAGAACCUUACCAGGGCUUGACAUGCGAGUGAAGCCGCGGAGACGCGGUGGCCGAGAGGAGCUCGCGCAGGUGGUGCAUGGCUGUCGUCAGCUCGUGUCGUGAGAUGUUGGGUUAAGUCCCGCAACGAGCGCAACCCCUGUUGCCAGUUGCCAGCAUUAAGUUGGGGACUCUGGCGAGACUGCCGGUGACAAGCCGGAGGAAGGCGGGGAUGACGUCAAAUCAUCAUGCCCCUUAUGACCUGGGCUACACACGUGCUACAAUGGACAGAGCAGAGGGAAGCGAAGCCGCGAGGUGGAGCGAAACCCAUAAAACUGUUCUCAGUUCGGACUGCAGUCUGCAACUCGACUGCACGAAGAUGGAAUCGCUAGUAAUCGCGAAUCAGCAUGUCGCGGUGAAUACGUUCCCGGGCCUUGUACACACCGCCCGUCACACCAUGAGAGCCGGGGGGACCCGAAGUCGGUAGUCUAACCGCAAGGAGGACGCCGCCGAAGGUAAAACUGGUGAUUGGGGUG
rnacentral:rRNA from 1 species